UUUAAACCCCACUUGAAAUAGACACAAACAGUUAUAUUUACCGUUAAUGCCUGUUUAAAUUUAUUCAUUUAUUUUAAUGCAUGCAUGCUUUUUUGUUUCUUUUUUUUCAGGGUACUUUUAAAGUGAUUUGCUGCCAGCUUUACCCUUGGCCGGAGUGAAGUAGUGAAACCGGAAGUGACAGUGCCAGGUUUGCCCUCUUCUGUUUCUAUCCUAGUAUUAAUCCAGCAGCCCCUCUACUCUUUUAAGAAAGACCUCAUUACCAGCCUCAUUGAUUGUGCUUCCUGCAUCAACGACCACAGCUUCUUCUACCACACCAGCUGAGAGAGAGAGAGAGAGGGAGGCUUAGCCCAGUGCAUCUGUGUGUCCUGCAUUAUGGGUAGGGAGGUAAGCAGUAGGCAGGAGGUUUAUGGUGCUGUAAUUGGUAGUUAGUGUGAUAUUUGUAAGACAAAUAGAGCUAUAUGUGAGAUUCCUCCUCUCUCUCUCCUCUCUAGUCUUUACAGCCACCAAAGGGCCUCAUUAUAGCCCACCGCAGCCCAGGCCUCACUGCUCCGCAUACACACACGAGGAGCAGGAAGUUGUGUGUGACAGUGUGGCUGCCAGGACUGAUAGAUGAUACAAUCACAGGUGUUUGUCCACAUUUCUUCUUCAUAAAUGCCCAUAUGACAAAACUGGGGUACUUGGAACACACAGGGCAGUGGACACAAGCAUUUGGACAGCUCUCAACAUGUUUGUCAUCAAAUGAGCCAUUAUCACAGGUACAGUCCAUCUCUCACAGGCAACAGAGUGUAUCCAGUAUACAGUAAUAUAUACAGUAACUACACUGUAUUUAGACCACAGUUUUUAUGCUUCAACUGUUUUGACACAGCCCUUUCUCUGUUUCUCUGUUCUUUAUUCAGUACAGAAGCUCUAGUGGUGUUGGUCGUCUUCUGAAAGACCUGAGGGACACAACGGCCACCAUACACAUCUGCAUCCUGUAUGUGGCUGAGAGGUUCCCAGCUGAACUUGGCUGAGGUCAGUGUCCGGUCAAGUGGAGUCGGGCCUGUGCGUCUGUGGGGGUGCAGAUGAAGUGGUCAGCGGUGUGACAGUUAGCAGGGAUUCUGACAGCCCCAGCUCCAGUGUGGAUUAGAGGUGAGGAGAGCAGACAGAGAGAGAGGGAGGUGGUGUGUGUGUGUGUGUGUGUGUGUAGGGCUCUGAAGCAUGGAGCUAACAUGGACUAACAAGGACUAGUCUUCCAGUGAAGGGAAUUCUGACUCAUUUCUGUGAAUCUUUGUCAUUGCUUGUUUCAAUUAACCAAUAAAAAAAAGAAAAAAAAAGAUGCAUUGACUAUAUUUCAUCUGUACAUCACCACAUGGUCCCUUGCAUCUUUGUUGUAGGAUUUUACAUACUCAAAAAAUGUCCUAAA